UGUCCUCUUGUUGUGGUAGUUUUUCUUCUUUUAAAUAUAGUCUCCUCCUUUACUGUGUUGAUUCCCUUUAUAUAUUUAAAUGUUUCUAUCAUAUCCCCCUUGUCUCGUCUUUCCUCCAAGCUAUACAUGUUAAGAUCCUUUAACCUUUCCUGGUAAGUUUUAUCCCGCAAUCCAUGAACCAGUUUAGUAGCCCUUCUCUGAACCCUCUCUAAG